rnacentral:rRNA from 1 species
GCCCAAGAGAUCGGGAUAACACCUGGAAACAGAUGCUAAUACCGGAUAACAACAGAUGAUGCCUAUCAACUGUUUAAAAGAUGGUUCUGCUAUCACUCUUGGAUGGACCUGCGGUGCAUUAGCUAGUUGGUAGGGUAACGGCCUGCCAAGGCGAUGAUGCAUAGCCGAGUUGAGAGACUGAUCGGCCACAUUGGGACUGAGACACGGCCCAAACUCCUACGGGAGGCAGCAGAG